rnacentral:rRNA from 1 species
GACAGAGGGGGCGAGCGUUUUCCGGAGUCACUGGGCGUAAAGCGCGCGCAGGCGGCAACCUAAGUGUCGUGUGAAAGCCCCCGGCUCAACCGGGGGAGGCCAUGGCAAACUGGGUCGCUCGAGCUGCGGAGAGGCCCCUCGAAUUGCCGGUGUAGCGGUGAAAUGCGUAGAGAUCGGCAGGAAGACCAAGGGGGAAGCCAGGGGGCUGGCCGCAGGCUGACGCUGAGGCGCGACAGCGUGGGGAGCGAACCGG